rnacentral:rRNA from 1 species
UACGAAGGGAGCUAGCGUUGUUCGGAAUCACUGGGCGUAAAGGGCGCGUAGGCGGCCACCGCAAGUCGACUGUGAAAUCUCCGGGCUUAACCCGGAAAGGUCAGCCGAUACUGCGGGGCUAGAGUGCAGAAGGGGCAACUGGAAUUCUCGGUGUAGCGGUGAAAUGCGUAGAUAUCGAGAGGAACACCUGCGGCGAAGGCGGGUUGCUGGGCUGAUACUGACGCUGAGGCGCGAAAGCCAGGGGAGCGAACGGG